GUUUUAAGUUAUAUUUAUAUAUUUACAUGUGGAAAAGGAAAAGGAAAAGGAAAAAAAAAAAAAGAAAAAAAGAAAAAAGAAAAGAAAUUAGAAUUUUAUCUCUCUCUCCUCAGCCACGCACAGACUCGACCCACCACCCUCCUUUUUGUUUUCCUUCAAGAAUCGCGAAAAUCCACAGCCCUAGUCAUCGUCUCGUCUCGCCGCCGUCAUCGAAGCUAACGUCAUUGUCAAUUUAGCUGCCAGCUGCUGCUUCCUCGCGCCAGACGCCGUUCCCCGAUCAACGUCAAAGUUGUUGGGGUUUUUUUUUUCCUUCCUUGUCGACUCCAGACACUAGAGAUCUGGUCGUGCCCUCCCCAACUGCCCUAGCCUCCGAUAGAAGCAGUCGUUCAUUUCAGUCAAUGCUGGCCUAAGUUCCAUCAUCGUUCCGAUCAACCACCGUUGACUUCGCUGACCGCUACUGCCUAUUCUGUCAAAAUUUUGAGUUUGGGAUUGACUCGAGUUUUAUCCAAGGGUUUUUAAGGAAUUAAUUGCGUGGACUUUUGUGACCAAGUUGAGGUAAGUGAUACCAUUAUUGGUGCCUUCAUGCCAGGUGGCCUAGAUUCGAUUUACAAGUUAAUUAAUGGACAUUAGAAGCGUGAUUUUGUCCUUGUGAUAUCCUUGUUGCAUGACAGUUAUAAGUAUUAUGAGCAUGUUUGAAUUUCUAAACAGUACUGAAAUUAUGUAUAUGAUGCAUGAUUAGACGAAUAGGGCAGUUUACCGUUUCGCCUUGAUGCAUGUUAUAUUUCAGAAGACCAACGGGUCUAGUUUCAUGUUUGACGAUGUGCCUUCGAGCAGCUAGACAUGCGUGAAUCGACAGGUUCACAUUCAUGUUAUUUUUCCAUGUUUGAUGGCGUGCCUUCAAGCCGCUAGACAUGCGUGAACAAACAGGUUCACGUUCAUGUUAUUUUUCCAUGUUUGACGGUGUGCCUUCAGGUCGCUAGACAUGCGUGAAUCGACAGGUUCACGUUCAUGUUACUUUUCCAUAUUUGACGGUGUGCCUUCGGGCCACUAGACAUGUGUGAGUCGACAAGUUCACGUUCAUGUUACUUUUCCGUGUUUGACAGUGUGCUUUCAGGCCGCUAGACAUGCGUAGAUCGACAGGUUCACGUUCAUGUUACUUUUCCAUGUUUGACGGUGUACCAUCAGACUCAAGGCAAGACAGUAAGGACAAGGACACUCGGACGACUGAUAAGAGGAAUCCAUGACAGUGCCAAAGGAACUAGAAACGCUUUUGCAUUUGAACCUUUAUGUCUUCUCAUUUAUUUAUUUAUUUACUUCAUGUUAAGGAGUAUCCUGGUUCAAACGAUUUAAAAUCUUGAGUUAAAGUCAAAAUAGUUUCAUUAUACACUUAAGCAGUCCAAAAUCCUUUUUUUUGUUUUUGUCCCUCAAUGUAAAUAUUUAUGCAUGCAUGUAAUAACGAUUCCCCUUUUAGUUGUCCUAAGAAGUCGAGUUGUUAUAUAUACUUUUUAUAAAAGAGAAUACGUUAACACAAACAACGAAAUACGAGAGAGGCCCCCCACCCUAAUAACAUAACGGAGUAAAUAUUGAUAUUUUUUUAAUGUUUCUGUUAAAGAAUGUUUUGGUCCUUUCCAUACAUAGUCCUAUAUAUUUAUCGAGCCUUUUGUGAUUUGUCCAAGUCCAUCUAAAAUAAUAGUGCACUUUACCAUUUUCAACUGAGAAAAUUUUAGAUGGCCGUAGCAUGCAUACUUCUUUAUAUAUUGCUUGUAACCUUUGCAUCCUUCUACAAAUCCGUGGUGUCGUUUCUCAGACAAAAGUAGUAGUUUAAUGGAAAAAUCCAGGUUACUACGAAGAGCCAUUCAAGGUGGAUUUUCAACCUGAAUUAUUCUCACUAGUAGGCCGAAUUCUGUUUACAUAAUUAAAGUAUCUCAUUGGUUCUUUUAUGAGCUGUUGGACUCGACAUUUCAUUCCAUUUACUUCAAGAUCAUAAUCUUAUUGACAUCAGGGAGCCCUUGAAAGGUGAGCGAAACACCAAAAUGGCGACUAUCCACAGUUCAGAUCUCACCAAGGAAAAUGUUACUAAAUUUUGAGGACACCCCAACCAAGGCCUAAAUGGCAGCCUAAUUUAGUAGGUCAUAAUUGAGAGACGGAAUACUUCUUGAGCCAGAACACAGCACCAACCAUGAAGCUUUAUGAGCACCAAUAUAAAUAAACAAAAAAGGAGUAUUUCUUAGGUGGUGAUGUCACUUCCUAAAGCUUGUGGAACAAUGGUAACCUUCUCCACCAUGCGUCAUGUUAUCUAUGAAAAGUUGGAGUUGAAUGGCAGAAAAUUAGGGGUAUGGGAAAUAUUACAGAGGGGAGUAAAGGUAUAUCAUGGACUUUAGAUCCUAAAGCUGUUCUAAACUAUAUGUAUAUGGAAAAGGAUGUGCGUAUGUUUUAUC